UGGGGAAUAUUGCACAAUGGGCGAAAGCCUGAUGCAGCAACGCCGCGUGAGUGAUGAAGGUCUUCGGAUUGUAAAGCUCUGUCUUUUGGGACGAUAAUGACGGUACCAAAGGAGGAAGCCACGGCUAACUACGUGCCAGCAGCCGCGGCAAUACGUAGGUGGCGAGCGUUGUCCGGAUUUACUGGGCGUAAAGGGUGCGUAGGCGGAUGUUUAAGUGAGAUGUGAAAUACCCGGGCUUAACUUGGGUGCUGCAUUUCAAACUGGAUAUCUAGAGUGCAGGAGAGGAGAAUGGAAUUCCUAGUGUAGCGGUGAAAUGCGUAGAGAUUAGGAAGAACACCAGUGGCGAAGGCGAUUCUCUGGACUGUAACUGACGCUGAGGCACGAAAGCGUGGGUAGCAAACAGGAUUAGAUACCCUGGUAGUCCACGCCGUAAAACGAUGAGUACUAGGUGUAGGAGGUAUCGACCCCUUCUGUGCCGCAGUAAACACAUUAAGUACUCCGCCUGGGAAGUACGAUCGCAAGAUUAAAAC
rnacentral:rRNA from 1 species